CAAUAGCGUAUAUUAAAGUUGUUGCGGUUAAAAAGCUCGUAGUUGGAUUUCUGCCGAGGACGACCGGUCCGCCCUCUGGGUGUGUAUCUGGUUUGGCCUGGGCAUCUUCUUGGAGAACGUAGCUGCACUUGACUGUGUGGUGCGGUGUCCAGGACUUUUACUUUGAGGAAAUUAGAGUGUUUCAAGCAGGCACACGCCUUGAAUACAUUAGCAUGGAAUAAUAAGAUAGGACCUCGGUUCUAUUUUGUUGGUUUCUAGAGCUGAGGUAAUGAUUAAUAGGGAUAGUUGGGGGCAUUCGUAUUUAACUGUCAGAGGUGAAAUUCUCGGAUUUGUUAAAGACGGACUACUGCGAAAGCAUUUGCCAAGGAUGUUUUCAUUGA
rnacentral:rRNA from 1 species